UACGUAGGGUGCGAGCGUUAAUCGGAAUUACUGGGCGUAAAGCGUGCGCAGGCGGUUUCGUAAGACAGAUGUGAAAUCCCCGAGCUUAACCUGGGAACUGCAUUUGUGACUGCGAGACUAGAGUGUAGAAGAGGGGGGUAGAAUUCCACGUGUAGCAGUGAAAUGCGUAGAGAUGUGGAGGAAUACCGAUGGCGAAGGCAGCCCCCUGGGCUAACACUGACGCUCAUGCACGAAAGCGUGGGGAGCAAAC
rnacentral:rRNA from 1 species